rnacentral:rRNA from 1 species
AGCCUGUCCGUGCCGAAGCAAAAGCGUUAAGUGCCCCGCCUGGGGAGUACGGCCGCAAGGCUGAAACUCAAAGGAAUUGACGGGGGUACGCACAAGCAGCGGAGCGUGUGGUUUAAUUCGAUGCUACACGAAGAACCUUACCAGGGUUUGACAUGCACGUAGUAGGGAAGGGAAACCGGACCGACCCCUUUGGGGAGCGUGCACAGGUGCUGCAUGGCUGUCGUCAGCUCGUGUCGUGAGACGACU